rnacentral:lncRNA from 1 species
GCUCCCGCUUCUCCCACCACACUUCCCUGCAAGCUGAGAGAAGCGGCUCUGGCCUUGGGCAGCCCAGAAAGGGGCUCCCUCAGUGCAGCGGUGGGCUGAAGGGCUCCUCAAGUGCCGCCAAAGUGGGAGCCCAGGCAGAGGAGGCGCCCAGAGCGAGCGAGGGCUGUGAGGACUGCCAGCACGCUGUCACCUCUCAGAACUAUUUACUCAGAAUGAGUGAAGAGACAGUCUUGCUCUGUUGCCCAGGCCGGAGUGGAGUGGCACAGUCAUAAUUCCCUGUACCCUUGAAAUCCUGAGCUCAAGCCAUCUCCAUACCUUAGCCUCCCAAGUGGCUACUACAGGACUGACUGAUAGUAUUUUCCUUUGGAAGAUCCUUUUAUAUUCUGUCUCUAUGAAAGAAGUGUUUUCAAUGAAAUAAGGCUGCUAUGAAGAAAUACCCAAGACUGGGUACUUUCUCAACUUUCAAAUUGAGCUGUUCAGAAUGUGUGAAACAAUUUUAAGAUGAAGUCAAAGAUACUUGAAGCAGAAGCUGUAUCUGAGGAAGCUGUAUAUAAACCCAAUUUAAAGCAAGUUUAACCUGCUGAUUGGGAAGAAUUUUUAUGAAAAGCUGUGUGCUUCCUGAUAAGAAAAAAGGCUUUCCUGUUUCGAUCAAACCAGAACCAGAUGAGAACUCAGCACAGGCACUGCAGCCACGGAGGUUUCCAGAUAGAAAAAUUGACACCCCUGAGAUCCCAUAACAUUUUGGGGACUCAUCUGGGAUCUGCGGAAGGAGCUUGACUCUUUUCAUUGGCAAUAAAUGGCGCCCCAACAUGGGGACUCAGAGAAGACUCAGGAGCCCCAAGCAGUUGUCCGAAAUCAGAGCUAAGGUACCAGCCAGGGUUAAUUGAAGACUCACCAAGUUCAAGCUUCUCCUUUGGUGGAACUGUCUCCCUGGCUUGAAAUCAUUGCACCAGAAGAGGCACUGGGACACAGAGCUGAGAUUGAAGAACACUUGAAAAUUAUCAAGAAUGUACUGCGGAGUAUUGAAAUUGCAAGUUAUCAUCAAAGGAAGCUGAAUCAUACCUUCCCUGUUUCAAAUAACAAGCAUCAAGCAUCGUGAUAAUGUGGACACUAAGGAGCAACAAUUUCUCUAAAGAUAAGAAUAAAGAUAGACUUUUAGACUACGAGAUGGGCCUGAAAAAAUAUCUGAUCAAGCUACUCAGUUUUACAGAUGAAGAAGAAAUGUGCAGUUUGUGAUAUCACAUGUAAAAAAGAAAGAAAGUGAAUUCCUUUGAAAAGACUACCCACACAGAAGAGGAAUCGCUUAAGUUUCUCAUUGGUACAAUACUUGCAUUUAUAAACAAACUGAUCAGAAAGUAGUGAAGAGAAAAAAAGCUUCUGGCAUUGAUUAUUGACUACCUACCUUGGGAAAUUAGUAUUUAGUAAACUUUUACUGCCUCUGUCCAUUUACCAUCGUAUACAUGUAAGUUUUCUGUUUCCCA